rnacentral:rRNA from 1 species
UACGUAGGGUGCAGGCGUUAAUCGGAAUUACUGGGCGUAAAGCGUGCGCAGGCGGUCUGCUAAGACAGGUGUGAAAUCCCCGGGCUUAACUUGGGAAUUGCGCUCGAAACUACGAUGCUAGAGUGUGGCAGAGGAAGGUGGAAUUCCACGUGUAGCGGUGAAAUGCGUAGAGAUGUGGAGGAACACCGAGGGCGAAGGCAGCCUUCUGGGCCAACACUGACGCUCAUGCACGAAAGCGUGGGGAGCAAACAGG